UAUGGCUGGUGCAGGUGUUCGAGCGGCCAACCUGGCGAAGUUUCUUCAGGCAGGUGUCAAAGAGGUCCACAGCUCGGCCGGACACUGGGUGCCAUCGCCAAUGCGCUUCCGUCAUUCCGGAUUAUCGAUGUCCGCCGAUGCCGACGCAGAUGAAUAUUCGCGCUAUGCCGUUAAUGGCGUAGCGGUGGCAGAAAUGAAGCAAAUCAUUUCUGCGCAGAGAAGUUAAACCGUUUUUGCUGCACAUCAUGUCGCCCAAUAUGAUGAUUGCCCGUACCAGGCCCCUGCAAUUUCAACAGGGGUCUUUUUUU
rnacentral:ncRNA from 1 species